rnacentral:rRNA from 1 species
CCUACGGGUGGCUGCAGUGAGGAAUAUUGGUCAAUGGCCGGGAGGCUGAACCAGCCAAGUCGCGUGAGGGAAGACGGCCCUAUGGGUUGUAAACCUCUUUUGUCAGGGAGCAAGGUGCAGGUCGGGACCUGCUGUGAGAGUACCUGAAGAAAAAGCAUCGGCUAACUCCGUGCCAGCAGCCGCGGUAAUACGGAGGAUGCGAGCGUUAUCCGGAUUUAUUGGGUGUAAAGGGUGCGUAGACGGGAAGUCAAGUUGGUUGUGAAAUCCCUCGGCUUAACUGAGGAAAUGCAACCAAAACUAACUUUCUUGAGUGCUGGAGAGGAAAGUGGAAUUCCUAGUGUAGCGGUGAAAUGCGUAGAUAUUAGGAGGAACACCAGUGGCGAAGGCGACUUUCUGGACAGUAACUGACGUUGAGGCACGAAAGUGUGGGGAGCAAACAGGAUUAGAUACCCCUGUAGUC